CAGAAAACCAACAGAGGUCAGACCGUGAAGUGGCACCAUGAUGGAAACAUCUCUACAAUAUCUGCUCUUUCCUUGUUUGAUGCUUUGCUGCAAAACAAAUGAAGUCCUCCCAGCUGCUCUGACUGUGAGUCCCAGCAGAUCUCAGUUCUUUAAAAGAGACUCUGUGUCUCUGAGCUGUGAGGAGGACAACAGCUCUGCUGGAUGGACUGUGAGGAGAAACACAACCAGAGGAACCAGGACUCAGUGUGGAGAUGGAUGGGGGAUACCAUCUGCUUCUUCCUGUACCAUAAGCUACUUGUUGUCAUGGGAUUCAGGAGUCUACUGGUGUGAGUCCAGAGAGGGAGCAGCCAGCAGCAGCAUCCAGCUCACUGUCACUGGUGGAUCAGUGAUCCUGCAGAGUCCUGUCCUCCCUGUGAUGGAGGGAGA